rnacentral:tRNA from 1 species
GGGUGAUUAGCUCAGAUGGUCAGAGCACAUGCUUCACAUGCAUGGGGUCACUGGUUCAAAUCCAGUAUCACCCA